GUGCUAAAAACAUUUUUAAGAAACUCUGGAAAUUUUGAUGAAUCACUACGGUGUUAUUAGUUACAACUACAAGCUUAAAUUCUUGUCAUUUCUUUCUCGUGUCUAACCAAAAACUUCUCCCCACUCCCAUCCCAACCCUCUGCUUCUGAAAGUGCAACUGUACAUUGAAGUUUUUAAAGAAAACCAAACCGACCACUAAAGGUAGUGUUAGUGAUCCCUGUAGAUACACACAAGGACUGCUGUGCACCUGUUAAAAAUGGGUUAUAUGGUACCGACAAGCUGUGCCAGCCUCAGGAACCCAGGCAUCCACUCAUGGCAUUGGUGUUGUUCUCUCUACCUGGCACUCUGUCAUCUGAUUUUCUCACCUGAAGGUUCUGCCUAACUUUCCAUAGAAACCAGUGAGAGCCCUUCAAGGACUACUGUGUCCCAAAGGAGAAACCUUUCCCUCAGAAUUUCUAGAGCUGGAAGAACUUCUAACUCCUGAAUCGUCGUGCCUGGAUGCAUGUGACAGUGCCCAAUGAUGGUAGGAAGCUGGUCCAUGCACCGCGAACAUGCUCAGUGUUUGCCAGAUGGUUUGUUGCUCUGUAAUGCAGGGAGUGAGCUAAGAGACCAGAAGAAACAAAGCACAGGAGACUGUACACUGCCCUCUAUCAGUGUGGUACAUUGUGCAUUCAUUAUAUAAAUGAGAAGAUUAAUGCAGACAAUUGUACAACUGGCUCAUCCACUCAUCCACACCUACACAUUUUGUGUGACUCUCCAACACCCCUGUGUCUAUUCACCAGAAGGUUUCUGCUACCAGCUGAGCUGACUGGACCUGGCUGGGGAUUUCAGAGAUGACAAAUUACAGGUUGUCUAUUAUUUCCCGUUCCUACUUCAUAAGCUAGAACAAGAACUUAUCAACUGCCAAGAAGCAGUUUGGUUAUUCCUAGAUCACGCUCUUUGCUGCUUGCAGUAGUGUUGUCCACACCAACUUGGAAAAGCAGUUUUUAAUCAGCUUGCUUUUACUAAAUUCUUACAAAUGAUUUAAUAUUUUUCUUUCAUGGAAAAUGAGCAUUUAUACUAAUUUCAAUGCAUUUGACCCCAAGGUGGUCUCUAUUAUAAUAUAAUACACAGCACAAAGGGCUUGGAAAGCUACACCUGGCUCUUGCUUAGCUUGAUCAGCAGGUGGAAACAGAAUGUCUGCAUCCCUCCCACAGCACAGAAGACUGCAGGAAGCCAGUCUUGGAUGUACUGGCUUGCCUUUGCCAGUCUGUCUUUGGAUCUGAAAGUUCUGGAAACACAAGAGAUGCCCAGGGAAAUGGGAUUGGCCUAGAAAAUUCAAAUUGCUAUUCAAUUUUAGUAUUAUGUCACAGCAGAUGAACCUUUGUGUUUAGAGCCUGACCCUUCAUCCGUUUCAAGUUCUCUGUUGUCUGAUCCACCAGGGUGUGACUAGGUUGUUGUACCACUGGCCCCACUGAGCACAGUUCCAGCCAUUGUGCCUUCCUCACCACACGCUCUGAAACUGGGGCUGAAGCAAACCUCUCCUCCCUCAGCUGUGUCUGUUAGAAUAGUGAUGCAGGUAUCUAGACAAGAACAUAUGCUAAGAGGGAAUAAAUGUGUUUUUUAAAAGAUUUUUUAGGGUUUA
rnacentral:lncRNA from 1 species